UCAGACGAUGCGUCAUGCAUAUCAAUAAGCGGAGGAAAAGAAACUAACAAGGAUUCCCUUAGUAACGGCGAGUGAAGCGGGAAGAGCUCAAAUUUGAAAUCUUCAAGGUUUUACCUUGACGAAUUGUAGCUUAAAGAAGUGUUUUCUGUUGAAGUUUUGGUAAAAGUUCUUUGGAAUAGGACAUCAUAGAGGGUGAGAAUCCCGUAUUUGACCAUUAUUUUCAGCCUGUGUGAUACACUUUCAAAGAGUCGGAUUGUUGGGAAUGCAGUCCAAAAUGGAUGGUAAAUUUCAUCUAAAGCUAAAUAUUGGCGAGAGACCGAUAGCGAACAAGUACCGUGAGGGAAAGAUGAAAAGAACUUUGAAAAGAGAGUUAAACAGUACGUGAAAUUGUCAAAAGGGAAGCGUUUGACACCAGUGUUGUUUUCUCGAAAAUCAAUUAAAAAGAGUUAGAUUUUGUUGUGUAUUGACCUUAACAGCUUGCAUUUCAAUUUUCUUGCUUUUUUUAAUGCACUUUUCGUUUAACAAGUCAACAUCAGUUUCUUUUGUUGUAAAAGGUCAUUGGAAGGUGGCUUUCUUUUCGGAGAAAGUGUUUAUAGCCUUUGACUCCUGCAAUCGGAGAGACUGAGGUCUGCAGCGUAGAUCCUUCGGGGUUAGAUACAUUUGUGCUAAGUUAUAGCUUUUUAUAGACAACUUGUUGACUAUGAUUAGUCUUGUAGCUUACUCGCUCAUGCUAUUUUACCUACGCUUAGGAUGUUGAGUCGUAGAGCACGCAG
rnacentral:rRNA from 1 species